UGUCUCCUCCAUCCUCCUUUUUUGGUGGAUUUUAAGCGCGGUCACUUAGGUGAACCGCGUUUUUUUUG
rnacentral:ncRNA from 1 species